UUUAAAUUAUGAAGACUAUUGAUAUAUUUUUAUUAUAAUUAUUUCUAUCUUCUUUUUCCGUUUCUUACUCUUUCUGGUGUGUGUAUGAAAUUAAUAGACAAAACAAAAUUAAUAGGCAAAACAUCCACACUUGUUGCAAAACAUAGAUAAGGCAAAACUGAAAUUAUCAAAUAAACAUUCAAGUGAAGAUCCUCCGAAUAAUGUUCCAAAUAAAUGUCAAAGAUUGGAGAGAUGGGGCUCUGGGAGCUCAAUAGCUACUCAAAAAGCAGUAGAUAAAGCGAUACUGCGUUUUAUUAUUGAAGAUAUUCAACCUCUUUCUACUGUAGAUAGUCCAGCAUUCAUUAAUUUACUUAGAAUUGGACUUCCUUCACAUAUCCGUAUAAUGUGCAGAAAAACAUUAAGAAACAAAAUUUGUGAAACAUAUCAUAAAAUGAAGGCUGCUCUUGAAAAAAAAUUGACAGAAGUAGAAGUAGUUGCAACUACCGCAGAUUUGUGGAGCAAAACAAAAAGGAGUUAUUUAGGCAUAACUAUUCAUUGGGUGAAUCCCGUAACUUUCGAGAGAGAAUCAGCUGCAUUGGCUUGCCGUAGGAUGAAAGGCAGACAUACAUACGAUGUUUUAGCUCGAGCAAUUAACUCAGUCUUUCUCGAGUAUCAUAUCCAAAAUAAAGUGUGUUAUGUAACUACCGAUAGUGGAUCCAACUUUGUUAAAGCUUUUCGGAAUUUUGUAAAAGACGAGGACGAAGAUGAAACAUCUACUGCUAUAGAAUUUCACGAUUUAAGUAAUCUUUUAAUUAAAGAUGAUAUAGAAGAUAUGGAUGCAGAAGAUUCGCUUAUUCUUCCAUCACAUCAUAGAUGUGUGAGUCACAGUUUAAAUCUUGUCGCUGUAAAAGAUUCCGAGAAAGCUCUAGACAAUGAUGUUUCAUAUAAAAAACUAUACAGAUUGACAUUUGCUAAAUUAACCAAAUUAUGGAGUAAACAAAAUCAAUCUACACAAAUAUCUGACAAAAUAAAAGAAAUUUUAGGUGUCUAUUUAAAAACUCCUGUUAUUACCAGAUGGAACUCUACUUUUGAUUCUGUAAUGCAACUAGCAACAUUUUUAAAAAAUGAUCCCGACCAAAUCAAUCAAUGCCUUGAUCAUUGUAAUUUGCAACGAUUGACUGAACAUGAAAUGAAAUUCAUAGAAGAAUAUUGUCAGAUAAUGAAACCUUUAGCACAAUCUUUAGAUAUAUUGCAAAGCGAGAAAGGGAUGUAUAUGGGAUACUUAUUACCGGUCUUAAAAACAUUAAAAGAAAAAUUAGAGAAACUUAAUAAAAAUGAAAUUACGCAUUGCCAAUCAUUAAUCGCAGCUCUUUAACAAGGUUUAAAUAAAAGGUAAUUUGUUAUUUUAAUGAACAUGUUAUUUAUUAUUUUUAGAAAACAAUAUUCAUUGAUUCUGACUUCUGACUGUAUAAUUUUAGAUUUUCCUCAUUGUUUAAAAAAAAAGAACUUAUUAUUGCAAGUUGUUUGCAUCCCAAAUUUAAAUUAAAUUGGAUACAUGGAGAAGAAAAAAAACUCGCUAAAACUUAUUUAGAAGACCUAUUAGGAAUUCGUUCCACCGAGAGUUCUCUAAACGAUGAAAAUCUCAACAACGAUGACUUUUUGCUUUUGACCAGCAAACAAAAGAAGUCGAGUCUACACAAGAAGAACUGUACCGAUUCUUGAAAUCAAGUCAGCCUAAAAAUCUGGGAUCACGAUAACGAUUUCAGUUUUCUUGUGAUCUCGUUUUGAUGCUUUAUAAAUCGACUUGCGGCAUUUCGAUAUUGGCAAAAUAUAAGAUUUUCACAUAAGAAGUAAAUAUUCUCAGAAUGAUGAAAAAAUUAAUUUGUGAGAAGAAAGAGAUCAUUAUAGCUUCAUUAUAUACUAUGUGUAUAUACAAUAUAAAUAGAAACUCUAUAAUGCUCUCGAAACGUUAAAGACUUUUAUAAUUUUAAUUCUUAUAAUAAGUAAUAAUGUAUAAUUAUA